UGAGUUUAACACUUCAUGACUGACAGCAGAACAGAACACAAUCUUCAUCAUCACACAACACAAAACAACAACGAUGACCUUCAGCAUCAUCUUCAUCUGGACACUUUUAUUCUGUAUAAAAGGCAUAUAAUUAAACAUUUAAGCACUGAAACAUAUUUGAAAAGAUCAAGUGGACAGAUCACAGUGACUCAGACUCCUUCAGUGAAACUUGCUGCUCCAGGAGAGACUGUUGUGUUGAAAUGUACUGCCAGCACUCCUUUAACAGACUGCAGCCCACCCUGUCUGUCCUGGUACUUACAGAAACCUGGAGAAGCUCCUAAACUCAUGAUUUAUUAUACAAGCAGCCUUCAGUCUGGAACUCCAUCUAGAUUCAGUGGCAGUGGAUCUGGAAGUGAUUUCACUCUGACCAUCAGUGGAGUCCAGACUGAAGAUACAGGAGAUUAUUACUGUCUGAGUGCACACUACAUCAGUAGUAGCUGGGUGUUCACACAGUGAUAAAGAGUCGUACAAAAACCUCCGUCAGUCAGACUGCACAGUGACUGCACUGAUACAACUGACAGAUACUGCAGCUGCUCAUACAACACAAUCACACACAACACUGAUCAGUAGACAAACACAAAUUAAACACAACAUGAUUUUUCAAAAUAAAUAGACAUUGUUUAAAAGUGAUUGUCACAUUUCAGGUAUAAUUUCUAUUUUUUAGAAGCAUCCCACAAUGCCAAGUGUAAAAAAUGGCAAACCAUGGCACAUAUUUUCACUUUAUUUUUAAAUGUUUAGUUUCAUUUUAGGUUAUUUUGGUCUGAUGUCUUCAGAGAAUUUUAUAAUUUAUUCAGAAUAGUCUUCGAUCCCCUACAAUAAUCUUGAGAUUCUUCUACAACGCACUCUGAGUUCUGCAAGAGUCUAGAUGUUAUUGAGUUCAUACUCAUGUACUCUGAUUUCAUUGAAAGCAGCUCCUUUGAGCCAGUGAGUUUGAGUAUAUUCUGAAAGACA